rnacentral:rRNA from 1 species
GAUGAACGCUGGCGGCGUGCCUAAUACAUGCAAGUCGAGCGAACAGACGAGGAGCUUGCUCCUCUGACGUUAGCGGCGGACGGGUGAGUAACACGUGGAUAACCUACCUAUAAGACUGGGAUAACUUCGGGAAACCGGAGCUAAUACCGGAUAAUAUAUUGAACCGCAUGGUUCAAUAGUGAAAGACGGUUUUGCUGUCACUUAUAGAUGGAUCCGCGCCGCAUUAGCUAGUUGGUAAGGUAACGGCUUACCAAGGCGACGAUGCGUAGCCGACUUGAGAGGGUGAUCGGCCACACUGGAACUGAGACACGGUCCAGACUCCUACGGGAGGCAGCAGUAGGGAAUCUUCCGCAAUGGGCGAAAGCCUGACGGAGCAACGCCGCGUGAGUGAUGAAGGUCUUCGGAUCGUAAAACUCUGUUAUUAGGGAAGAACAAAUGUGUAAGUAACUAUGCACGUCUUGACGGUACCUAAUCAGAAAGCCACGGCUAACUACGUG